GGACCAUUUAUUAAAAGACAUUCUUUCCUAUCGAAUUGGCAUGGCACCUUUGCUACAAAGAAGCUCUCUUUUGAUGCCUUGCUUUUUUUUCCAGUAAACUUGGAAGCAAGGUCAUGAAAUGAAGGCAUGAAAAUGUAACUAUUAUAAAGACUAAUGAUUCCAAACUGUGGAAAAUGUAUUCUCUUUAUUUAAAUAACGACUCUUAUUAAA